CGCGUAGGCGGUCAGGAAAGUCAGAUGUGAAAUUCCGGGGCUCAACCCCGGAGCUGCAUUUGAAACUUCCUAUCUAGAGUUCAGUUAGGGAAAACGGAAUUCCACGUGUAGCGGUGAAAUGCGUAGAUAUGUGGAAGAACACCAGUGGUGAAGACGGUUUUCUGGGCUGAUACUGACGCUGAGGCGCGAAAGCAAGGGGAAGCAAACAG
rnacentral:rRNA from 1 species